rnacentral:lncRNA from 1 species
GAGAUGGAAGAGAUCAAACACGGGAAUAAGAAGCAAGCUCACCUUCCUUUUUGAUCAUUUUGAUAGAGGGGGAUGAAGAAAGUGGACAAAACAGACUCGCAUUUCUCAUCGAACAAAUACAGGAAAAGAAUCAUAUUGAAAACGCUCCUAACCCAACCCCUUCCUUCGUAGAGCCCGUGUAUUGUAAGUGAUCCGAACCUGCCCGGAGCGAGCCUCCCAUAGAGGCAAGUGAAGUUGGUGAGCCGAAUU